rnacentral:rRNA from 1 species
AACGAACGCUGGCGGCAUGCCUAACACAUGCAAGUCGAACGAGACCUUCGGGUCUAGUGGCGCACGGGUGCGUAACGCGUGGGAUCCUGCCCUUAGGUUCGGAAUAACUCCCCGAAAGGGGUGCUAAUAACGGAUAAUGUCUUCGGACCAAAGCUUUAUCGCCUUUGGAUGGGCCCGCGUUGGAUUAGCUAGUUGGUAGGGUAAAAGCCUACCAAGGCGACGAUCCAUAGCUGGGCUGAGAGGAUGACCAGCCACACUGGGACUGAGACACGGCCCAGACUCCUACGGGAGGGAGCAGAGGGGAAUACUGGACAAUGGGCGAAAGCCUGAUCCAGCAAUGCCGCGUGAGUGAUGAAGGCCUUAGGGUUGUAAUGCUCUUUUACCCGGGAUGAUAAUGACAGUACCGGGAGAAUAAGCACCGGCUAACUACGUG